UAUUUCAAAAAACGACCCUACCUUAUCUACCGUACCUCAGCAAGAUGGCUGGGGGGGGACUACCCCAGCUGGUUCUGAGCGAGGGGCAGGAAUACACUCAAAGUGUAUUCCUGCCUCUAACUCACAACCGUGGCCGAUUUAGUAUGCAUGUUUUUGGGAUUGGGGGAACCUAGGUGGACACGGGGAGAACAUGCAAACUCCGCACAGAGCCGAGAUUCGAUAUCACGACCUUCGUACUGUGAGGCGACAGCGCUACCCACUGAGCCACCGUGCCACCGAUUACAAUGCUUGCUUGGUAAACUAUCAAGGAUCAUCAACGAUGACGUGCCCUUAGCCUCAUAGCUCCAGGCUAGCUCCCGUAAUUAGUACUGCUCGGUUCUUCCCGGUUUAGCAAUGGCGUCCUUCUACACCCGCUGUCAAUAGGAGCUCCCAAAUAUAAACAUCACUCGCGUUCAUAGGAUUUUCACAACGACUAAAGACUCAACCGGCAAAUUGGAGAAAGGCUAUUCAUUACAUGCCAUGUGUAUUUUUGCAACUACCAAGCAAUCCGCCAGGCCGUCUCCAGAUCUCUUGUGGCACGCUACCAGAAAUAUAAACCAGCUCGACUGAGAAUCCUGCUCUGUGGUGCUUUUACAAAACACAACGCAAGAUCACGCCUGUUACACCACUGACUGGUGGACUGAGUCAUUGCACUUGAGAUCAUGGAAGUAAGUGAUUGCACCUGAGAUGAUGGAAGGAGACGCCUCACUGCACUGGACCAGCGGACGCCCCCACAGGAGACUCUGACUGAAGCCGGACCGGCACCCAAACUCGGACCCCGGGGAGCAUCUCAAACACCGGGAAAGUUAAGUGGUUUUAAAGACGUACUCGAUUCAAGUGUUUGUAUUUGUCUAUAUCGCAUGAAGUUUAUGUUAAAUGUUACUGAUUUACUGAUUUUAAAAGAGCAGCUGAGAGCCAUAGUGCCGGGGUAGGGAAAGCAGCUGAGUCAGCUAGCCAGAUACUAAAAUUGCCACUGCAUACGUGCCCUGAGAACACGUGUAAGUUUGCUGUGGAAAGUCAUUUUGCUUGCGGUGAAAUACCGUGUGUUUUGCCUGCAAGUGUUAUAAUUCCACUGUAAGUUGCAGUGCUAAGUUGCACUGCACUAAGGGGGUGUAAGUAGUCUCACUUGGAGCAGCGCUAUAUUAGAAAUAUUUGGAAUUACUUGGUUAGAAAAUGCAAUUGCUUUCAGCAGUGCAGGACCUGCAGAAGUUCUCCUAGAGCAGGCUAAGUAUCUGUUUUUUGCAAAUAGUGUAGCUAGAUUAGACUGUUACCUGUACUUCUACCUGUUUUGUAGUUUGCCCAGCAUUAGUUUUGCUGUUUGUGUAGUAUUUUUAGUUAUUUGUUCUAACUGUAUUAGGCAGGUCUUGUAUGGAGCUAGUUAGCUUCACAUGGCUUGUAAGUAAUUGCUCAGUCAUCAGCUGCUAUUCAUUUGGUAAUUGCCAGCGCUUGUAGUCUCGCUCCCUCCCAGUUAGUCUUAGUGCAUCUGUAUCCUUCUGCCACCACCCUUCCUCUCACUACUCCCUGUCCUCACUGCUGUGUCUCAACCCCAUCCCAACCUGUUCUCUCCCCUACAGAACGCACUUCCGCAGGCAAGGCCCCCCAUGGCAACGGAACCUCUCCAACAUUUGCUAUCCCUCGCUGACCCCCUGUGACAACAGUCGCAGGAGGGCUAUGGAACUGCCAGUCUGCUACGCGGAAGGCUGACUUCAUUUCGGCCUACGCGUCCCUCCUCUCUUUACAUUUCCUUGCCCUCACUGAGACCUGGAUCACACCAGGCAACACUGCAACCCCUGCAGCCCUCUCCUCCUCCUUCUCCUUCUCUCACGCCCCCCGCCCGUCUGGCUGUGGUGGGGGCACAGGUUUGCUCAUCUCUCCCUCUUGGAAAUUCUCUUCUCCCCCUCUCUCACCUCUCCAUCUCUACCUUUGAAUACCACUCUGUCUCAAUCACCUAUCCUGUUAACUUGUAUAUUGUGGUUAUCUAUCGCCCUUCAGGGCCCCUGGGAAGCUUCCUCCAUGAGCUCGACACCCUGCUCAGCUCCUUCCCAGAGGAUGGCACCCCACUGAUCCUGUUGUAGUCUGUAUUGAUCCUCCUGGGAGACUUCCACAUCCACCUUGAUGCCUCCCACUCCGCAGCCUUCCUGCCCCUACUCUACUCAUUCCAUCUCUCCCUGAUGCACUCCCCACCAACACACAAAGCUGGCAACCUCCUAGACUGGGUCAUCCUGAGGAAUUGCUCCUCCGAUCCCACGGUGACCCCUCUGCAUCAGUCCGACCACCACUUCGUUUCCUUCUCGACAUAGCUCAGGAGAUGUACUUGAAACCUCAAGAGGGAGAUCGAAGACAUCCUGAUCCGGUACCGCGGGACCUUGUUGGUGGGCGACUCCCGCCGCUGCCGGUCCGACCAGUUUGCUGGACCCGGAGCCCGCCCUCGCUACUAGAUGUCUUACUGCUAAAAAUGCUGUCUUCACUUUUAU